rnacentral:misc_RNA from 1 species
GCCUGUCUUCCUUGGCUUGCAUCUCGAAAUAGAAGUAAUCUAAUCGUGUCAGCAUAUCCCUUGUAUGCAGCCCAAUGAAGAGGGCUCCUCCCUUCAUUGUCUGGGUGCAUCAAAAUCAGCAUGAUACUUUGCAACAAUGUGAUUUAAGAAAGCUGUUUGUCCAUACUGGGCAGAAACAUGAACUGCCCGAUAGCCAUUUAUAUCAGUUGCCUCGACUCGAGCUCCAUUCUGCAACAGCACAUCUGCCACAGCAAUUGAACCCCUAACCGCAGCCCAAUGCAUUGCUGUCUGCUGCAUA